rnacentral:lncRNA from 1 species
UCUAUAUCUUCACUUCCUACCAUUCUUGUUGCUCCUUGUGGUGGUAAAUUGAGUUGAUGCAUCGCAAGCAUUAACUCCCUCAAUUGUUCUUGCAUCUGUGCCAUUGCACUCUUCAUUUCAACAAGCUCUGCCAUAGUAGCACUUAGAAAAGAGAAGAUGUCUAAUAAUGCUCAAAACAAAUAGAAGAGAGGAAUUGAUAACAAAGAAAAUACUAAGAACAAUAUCAGUUUAAAAGAGGGUAAUCCGCAACUU